UGGGGAAUAUUGGACAAUGGGGGGAACCAUGAUCCAGCCAUGCCGCGUGUGUGAAGAAGGCCUUAUGGUUGUAAAGCACUUUAAGCGAGGAGGAGGGUACUGGUAUUAAUACUACCAGGUACUGGACGUUACUCGCAGAAUAAGCACCGGCUAACUCUGUGCCAGCAGCCGCGGUAAUACAGAGGGUGCGAGCGUUAAUCGGAUUUACUGGGCGUAAAGCGUGCGUAGGCGGCUAAUUGAGUCGGAUGUGAAAUCCCCGGGCUUAACUUGGGAAUUGCAUUCGUUACUGGUUAGAUAGAGUGUGGGAGAGGAUGGUAGAAUUCCAGGUGUAGCGGUGAAAUGCGUAGAGAUCUGGAGGAAUACCGAUGGCGAAGGCAGCCAUCUGGCCUAACACUGACGCUGAGGUACGAAAGCAUGGGGAGCAAACAGG
rnacentral:rRNA from 1 species